UGGAGACCUGAACUGACACG
rnacentral:misc_RNA from 1 species